rnacentral:rRNA from 1 species
UACGUAGGGGGCAAGCGUUAUCCGGAAUUACUGGGUGUAAAGGGUGCGUAGGUGGUAUGGCAAGUCAGAAGUGAAAACCCAGGGCUUAACUCUGGGACUGCUUUUGAAACUGUCAGACUGGAGUGCAGGAGAGGUAAGCGGAAUUCCUAGUGUAGCGGUGAAAUGCGUAGAUAUUAGAAGGAACAUCAGUGGCGAAGGCGGCUUACUGGACUGAAACUGACACUGAGGCACGAAAGCGUGGGGAGCAAACAGG